GAUGAACGCUGGCGGCGUGCCUAAUACAUGCAAGUCGAGCGAACAGACGAGGAGCUUGCUCCUCUGACGUUAGCGGCGGACGGGUGAGUAACACGUGGAUAACCUACCUAUAAGACUGGGAUAACUUCGGGAAACCGGAGCUAAUACCGGAUAAUAUAUUGAACCGCAUGGUUCAAUAGUGAAAGACGGUUUUGCUGUCACUUAUAGAUGGAUCCGCGCCGCAUUAGCUAGUUGGUAAGGUAACGGCUUACCAAGGCAGCGAUGCGUAGCCGACCUGAGAGGGUGAUCGGCCACACUGGAACUGAGACACGGUCCAGACUCCUACGGGAGGCAGCAGUAGGGAAUCUUCCGCGAUGGGCGAAAGCCUGACGGAGCAACGCCGCGUGAGUGAUGAAGGUCUUCGGAUCGUAAAACUCUGUUAUUAGGGAAGAACAAAUGUGUAAGUAACUAUGCACGUCUUGACGGUACCUAAUCAGAAAGCCACGGCUAACUACGUG
rnacentral:rRNA from 1 species